rnacentral:rRNA from 1 species
UACAGAGGGGGCCAGCGUUAUUCGGAAUUAUUGGGCGUAAAGGGCGCGUAGGCGGCCAUGCGUGUCUUCCGUGAAAUCCCUCGGCUUAACCGAGGACGUGCGGAAGAAACUGCAAGGCUCGAGUCCGGAAGUGGGGGGCGGAAUUCCCAGUGUAGCGGUGAAAUGCGUAGAUAUUGGGAGGAACACCAGUGGCGAAGGCGGUCCCCUGGGCCGGAACUGACGCUGAGGCGCGAAGGCGUGGGUAGCAAACGGG